GCUCCCUUGCAGAGAUAACUUUGAUGGCUGAUCACCUCCCUUUACUUCAACUCUUGAAUGAUAGAGGGAGGAGGAAGAAGAUGAAGGGAUCAAGGGAGAAGAUCCAAAAGGCUAGAUGCAGCCUUUCCUUUUCCUUGUGUUGAAUCCCAAACGAAGGAGGAAGAAGAAGACUAUCAAGGCCCUUUUCCUUCUUGCUUGCGGCUGAUCCAAGAGGAGAGAAGGGUGGCCACGAAUUGGAGAGGAGGAGGGCUUCUA
rnacentral:lncRNA from 1 species